UACGGAGGGUGCGAGCGUUGUUCGGAAUCACUGGGCGUAAGGCGCGUGUAGGCGGCCCACUAAGUCUGAUGUGAAAGCCCGGGGCUCACCCCCGGAAGUGCAUUGGAAACUGGUGGACUCGAGUCCCGGAGAGGAGAGUGGAAUUCCUGGUGUCGCGGUGAAAUGCGUAGAUAUCAGGAGGAACACCGGUGGCGAAGGCGGCUCUCUGGACGGUGACUGACGCUGAGACGCGAAAGCGUGGGGAGCAAACAGG
rnacentral:rRNA from 1 species